rnacentral:lncRNA from 1 species
UGAAAACUUGAAAUUAAAUAAAGUCCUCAGCGUAUUAGUCAUUACUACUUUACUAGCCCUAGCGGACUGACCGACUCUAAAGUCGAACAACUUUGAUACUCUCGUCUCAUCAUCUCAAGUCUCAAACUCUCAUUCUCUCAAUCUGAAUCUCUCAACUCUCAAGUGACGAAUCAUCCCAAACCCAGAUCUCGUCUCAGAUCUCAAGUGACAAGAAUCAUCCCAAACUCUGUUACUCUCGUCUCAUCUCAGAUCUCGAAGACUCGACUCUGAAUCGGAAGUCGGUGACGACGGGCGACGGUGAGUCCUCCUCGGCUCCUCCUUUUCUUAUAUUUUUAUGUAUAUACUUAUAUAAAUCUGUGUAUGUAUGUAUAACUACCGCAUUCAGUUACAUCAACUCUGUUGAGUAAAAAAUACUGGAAGCAAGCAGGAUUUUUGAUAAAAUGGAUGCUGCCAAAAGGGGAACUUCUAAAGUGCCAUCACUGCCACCACCGUGUCCUAAAUCGCCGCCAGAGUACCCAGAUUUGUAUGGGAAGCGCCGAGAGUUGGCUAAGGUUCAGAUGUUGGAGAUAGAAAUUGAUUUUCUUGAGGUUUGUUUUUCUAUUUAUUUUCUUGCAGCUUGACCGUUUGAUGUUUGUUUUUAAUUUUUACUAAUUUUUCUUACUAUUUCUGUUUGACAUUUUAAUUUCUGGGUUUAUUGUUGAAAAUUGGUGUGCUUUUAUUUUUUGUUUUAAUUCAACUGGUCUCUUUCUUACUUGGAAUUGAAAUAUAACAAAAUUUUCUGUUAAUGGAGAAUGUGCCACCAGACUGCCAAAAUUGUACUCCUGUAACAUGAUCACUCAUAAACUUUCUGAGAAUCUUUUCAUCAAAUGAGAUAUGUCACUAUUCCUGAAUAUUUUUAUCCUUUUUUCAGCACAGUGCUGAUCAGUUUGAGAGGUUGUUGAUGCUGAAUAGUUUGAAUAUUUUUAGUAGCACUUCAUCUUCAUCAUAGAUUAAAUACAGAUAUACACUUUGGUUUCAUGCUUUUAUGAUGCAGGUUCUUUCAUGCCACCUGACCCACCCAAAGGCACACAUAAACCUGGACUGAACUGACUUACACGGCUGCUAUUGUGAGACUGAACUUUGUUGUAAGCUGCAGAUUCCCCUCCUCUGUUAAAGCAUCUAAUUCAGGUAGAUAUGAAGCAACUCCAGCCAAAGGAUAAUGGCGGAGUGAUACAUUUGAAUUAACAAUCUUUUUUAUUUGUGUCUUUAUUUUUUUCAUAAAAAAUACAAUAACAAUCUCUUUUUAAGGUCUAAUUGCAAAUCCUUAUUUUAUUAGGUUUAGGUGUGCUGUUAAUGGAAAACUCUGAUCACAGCUAAGUUAGAGGAGAUAUUAAUUUGUUCGUGCAUUAUGUUUGAAGUUUUAUCAUAUGGUAUGUGAUGUUAUCGUCUUGUUUACUAGAUAUCCUUGUAGAGUAUUGGUUUUGAAUCUAUAAUAUACCAAGUUAUAAAAAAGUCAUGAAAAUAUUUGCUUAAGUUUACUCUCAGAGUUUAUUUUGUGCUUGAUCUGCUUUUAAAUUGUGUUUUUGGCAACUAUUGUAUUGUAUCAAAUGCUAGAGUUAUCAUGGUUAUUCUGAAGUGAAGUUUGAACGGGGGUGUGGAUUAUUGAGCUUAUGUUAGUUUGCCUAGACAGUUGUUGCAACUUGCUUUCCACUAGAGCAACUUUAGGAAAACUUCAUUUUUCUUUGAUAAACAGAAUUAAAUUUGUAGUAUAUUUUAUAAGUUUUUAGCUAGUACUACAUUUAGAAUGAUGUGUGGCCAUUUUUCAGUUUAAAUUUUCACCUCUAAUAUGAAAAGGUUUUAUUGGUGCAGGGUC